UUGGGUCUGAAUGUCAAAGUGAAGAAAUUCAACCAAGCGCGGGUAAACGGGGAGUAACUAUGACUCUCUUAAGGUAGCCAAAUGCCUAGUGAUCUAACUAGUGACGCGCAUGAAU
rnacentral:rRNA from 1 species